rnacentral:rRNA from 1 species
UCCCUACGGGAGGCAGCAGUGGGGGAUAUUGCACAAUGGGGGAAACCCUGAUGCAGCGACGUCGCGUGAGGGAAGACGGUUUUCGGAUUGUAAACCUCUGUCCUCUGUGAAGAUAAUGACGGUAGCAGAGGAGGAAGCUCCGGCUAACUACGUGCCAGCAGCCGCGGUAAUACGUAGGGAGCAAGCGUUGUCCGGAUUUACUGGGUGUAAAGGGUGCGUAGGCGGGCUUGCAAGUCAGAAGGGAAAUCUAUGGGCUUAACCCAUAAACUGCUUUUGAAACUGUAAGUCUUGAGUGAAGUAGAGGU